CUACAGUUCUUGUACCCCCAUCUUGACAGAUCAGUUCGCACAAGAAUGCGACCCUUUCGCUGCUCUUUUUUAGGAAAUGGUUUUCAUGAGACCAGCUUUGCCAACGACAUGGGCGGGUACACCAGGCGCCCAUGCCAAAGGCUGCUGAAAACGCCCUUGGAACCAGCUCCUCUUUUAGAAGAAGGAAUUCUGGAAUGCGAUGUGGGCCCCCGAAAGGAAGGGACCUUACAUUGAUCUGGAUUCCCAGGGGCUGUUCGCCAGCGGCUCCCCUGCGUCCUCGCCGGGUCCCCUGCCUGUGUCCCCGGGCCGCCCGGAUUCACUGCUUCUUCGUUUCUGGCGGCUUUAAGGCUUCUUCGGGCUGAGAAAACCUCACUUUGGGAGGAGUGGUGGUGGGGAGGACUUUCCCAGCCUGCUUCUUUGAUCUGCAGCAGGAAAAGAGUAUAAAUUCCAGAGACUCCAAACCUUGAAUUCAACGAAAACCAACCCCCGAGUAAAGGAGAAGAUGAUCAAGAUGGCUGGAGUCUGAACCUAGUCAACUGCUAGGCGAGAAUUUGGAACUGAGGUCCUGAGGGUCCACCUGGCUUCCAUGUGCAACUGGGACAAAGAUGGAGUCUCGUUCUCUCACCCAGACUGGAGUGCAGUGGUACAAUCUCUCCUUACUGCAACCUCCACUUUCCAGGUUCAAGUGAUUCUUCAGCCUCAGCCUCAUAAGUAGCUGGGAUUCCAGGCUGGCCUUCUCCUCCUCUCCUGUCUCCACUGCAGGCAGGACCUGACCACCAACACCACUCCUGAGAUUCACCUACCACAGUUGUAGCCACAUGCAAACGAAGGGGCUGGAUCUGGGUGUCUCCUCCACUGCAUGUGGACUGUGCAGAGAGAAGGGGUCCCCUGGAAUGCGACACUUAGAGCAGAGGGCACCCAGAACCAGGAACCAUGAAAGAGGAGUCUCAAAAUAGGACACAAAAGGAGUGCUUCACCACGUCACUGUGCACAUUCCAGCUAAGCCUCCAGCUCUGCUGGGGUCAAGCCAACAUGGAAAGAACCCAGGAGACCCACUCUUCCUGGGCACAGCUGAGAUUAGGAGGCAAAGAAAGGCCUCCAGGAAACCCAGAAGCCCAGCCUGAACUGAGGCAGAAAAGGACUGAUGUGUCUAACACCUGGCCUUCACUACCUGGAAGAGAGACAGACCAAGAACAAAUGAACAAAGAAGGUGAAAUGGUUAAAUGUGGUGCCUAAGCCUUUCUUUUCCAGAAACCGACAUAACUUCUGUCUGUCUGCCUACAUGGAGUUGUGGUUAGGAACACAUUUCUGGGGGAUUGGUUUGGUUUCAAUGUUUUCCAGUGUCUGGUAAAAACAGAACUAUGAAAGUUAAGUAUUCAAAGGCUGUUGUUUGGGUUUUGAAACAGAAACAUUUUGAAAUACUGAUAUGUUUUGCUUUCAUGGUGUUAUUUUACUUAAAGAGAUACAGUUGAAGUAAAACCAAAUUCUCAGCUACUAACAUAAACACUUUAGUCUUUCUUGUUGCUCUAAAGCCAGUUCGAGAUAUGGCAAUUUUAGGAGAGAAGAAGGGAGAGAGAGAGGAAGGACACACCACAAAAAGGAAGUUUGCAACAGUUGUGCCUGUUUUUAUUGAAUGUUUGAGGUGAUUACUACAUACCUUUUCUUCCUUUGGCUGGGGAGAUCUUUCCAGAAAAUACAGCCCACCAGGAGAUGUUAGAAUUUAUCCAGAGCAGCUCUUUGCACUUGGCUUUUGAUGUCUUGAAGUAAUGUGUUCGUCAAGUGCUUUUCUUAUUUAUACACAAAAUAAUCAUACUCUCUGUGCUUUUUGCUUUCUUAUUAGCAUGCAGAUCUAAUGUAAUUCCAUUUACUGGAUUCUGAGAGAAAUACAGACAUUGAAAGGGGUACCCCAGACUUCUGCAUAACAGGGGCCAGAUUUGUGUGCUUGCCUAACAGUAACAACAACAAAAGAUGAGACAUUAAAAAAAAAAGUUUCAAAACAUGGAUUGAGGCAGCAAAAAACAGUCAGUGAUCCCUAAGAGACUGCCCCAUCUUGUGGCCUUGAGACAGUUUUCAGGCUGUGGCGCAGAGUGGAGAACACAGGCAAAGGCUGGUGGAUCCCUGAUUGGGGAGACAGAGGUGAGAGUCAGGGAGAUCAAAACAGCUAGAGUUCCUGGGAAUCAACACCAGAGAAGAGAGGACUCUGUAAAGAGAGAAUUUGGGAGACCUGCAAAGGAUCCUUGAAUAUUCAUUAGAGGACCUACUGAUCAGCACAUUUGUGUGCGGAAGUCAUCAGAAACCAGAGAGAGAACCACCUGAAAGGAUUAGAGGUUAACAGUGCUCACUCAGGGCAGGGAAGAGUGCUUAUUCCCACCAGCCAGACCAGAAAACCUCACAGUUCAUCUACAUUAGUAGUGUUAAACUAAGUUAAGCCUAAGGCUACCUCCUUACAUAUUUUAAAUUCAGGCUAAAAGUUUUUCCAUACACAGAGAACUGUAACCUAACUGGACAUCUAACCAGAUUGUAACCCACUCCUGUAACAAGUAGCCAAGCCUCAGCCAAUCAUAAGAGCCAAAUUUUGGCCAUGCAAAGGCAGCCAACUGUUAAAACCAUGUUUAAGUGCCAAGCUGUAGCCAGCCAGCUGUUUCUGUGCUUCACCUCCAUUUUCUGUAGGUCAUUGCCCUUUUUCUGUCCAUAAAUGCUAUCCAGCCACAUGGCAGCCCUGGAGUUGCACUGCUGGUUCUGAGGGCUGCCCAAUUCAUGAAUCAUUCUUUGCUCAAUUAAACUGUUCAAUUUAAUUUGCCUAAAGUUUUCCUUUUAAUGGGAUGGUACAUAGUAAAAGGGAAUAAUUAGACUAAAUACUAAUCAGUCCUGUCAAACUAAUUAGAAAAGAGAGACCAGAAAAGCUCAAAUUGUUUACAAGUAACAUAAUUGUGUUCUAGAACAAAUAUUUAUAUAAACAUAAAAAGGUCCAUCACCCAACCAGGUAAAAUUCAUAAAAUCUGGCAUCCAAUCAAAAAUGAAGCAAAGUUAAGCAAAGAUCCCUGAGUCUACAACGUAUGAUGAGAAAAAUAAAUUAAAUUUGAUCCAUCACUGACACAGAUGUUAGAAUUAGAAAACAAGGCACUAAACUGUAUUACAUAUUUUCGAAAGGUAAUUAGAGACAAGGAAAAUACGAAAAAUACUCAAAUCAAGCUUCUACAGAUGAAA